rnacentral:rRNA from 1 species
CUACGGGCGGCUGCAGUGAGGAAUAUUGCACAAUGGGGGGAACCCUGAUGCAGCAACGCCGCGUGGAGGAUGACGCAUUUCGGUGUGUAAACUCCUUUUAUAUGUCAAGAAAAUGACGGUAGCAUAUGAAUAAGCACCGGCUAACUCCGUGCCAGCGGCCGCGGUAAUACGGAGGGCGCAAGCGUUACUCGGAAUCACUGGGCGUAAAGGACGCGUAGGCGGGUUGGAAAGUCAGGUGUGAAAUCCUACAGCUUAACUGUAGAACUGCACUUGAAACUUCUAAUCUAGAGUAUGGGAGGGGGAGAUGGAAUUAGUGGUGUAGGGGUAAAAUCCGUAGAUAUCACUAGGAAUACCUAAAGCGAAGGCGAUCUCCUGGAACAUUACUGACGCUAAGGCGUGAAAGCGUGGGGAGCAAACAGGAUUAGAUACCCUCGUAGUC